CGUUAUGGCGGGCUGUGCGCGGGACACCCUCGGGUGUGCCGGGUUCCUUUGCUCCCGGUCGGCCAACCCGCGUACAGUUCGCCUCCAUC
rnacentral:antisense_RNA from 1 species